CCCUAACUGGCAUGCGACGAUCAGCUUCUUGAUCUUUUCCGCUUGAAGUGAUUAUCUCCAUAUUUCUGUACCAAAUUUCUGAGUUAAAAUCAGCUUCUUCUUUGGUUUUGAUCGAUCUCGUGCAAUUUACACUAUUUUCAUGGCUAUAUAUUGGAUCGACAAACUAAUAAAGCAUGAAUGCAUGUGUGAAAUUGUCUGUGUGUUGUUCGUUUCAAGUUUCAAGUCCUUGAUUCGCUUUACAUUUCCCUCAUUCCGUUUGCUGAAUUGAUUCGGUUGAAAUUUCUGAAGUUGUAGCACUUUUUGGUUUUUCAAGUUCUAGUUAGUAACUCUGUUUGUUGCUGUCGAUGAAAAUUAGGGAUUCUUUUUUAUUUUCGGUACUUAUUACAUUGAAGAGUUGGAAUUAGGUGCUUAAAUCAGUUGUUGUAUAUAUGUCAAAAAUUCCAGCUACACGAGAUCCUGGUCUGCAUGCAAGACUCUUAGAAAGAGUUCCAUCCAAGUGAAACAAAAACAGAAUCAAAAUUACUAGGGACUAGACUCUUGGAAAGACUUUGCAUUUUAGUUGUGAACAAAGAACGGAUGGCUCCUUCUUUUCUAUAUGACUAUAUUCAAUUUGGCUGUUUGUUUUGGAAGUAGAGUCAUGAUCUUUUUUGCUUACACACCCGCACAAGGGCAUGGUCUGAAUUAUUUGGACACCACUGGCCAGCAUAUUCGAUCAAUGAUUUCCUUUUAUUUUAUUUUUUUAAAUGAACUGAAAAUUCCAGGAGCAAGGGAAGGCACUUCAAAAAUGGAGGUGGAGUUGGACUCAAUUAGCAACUUACCAAGAGAGAUUGCUGAAAAGAUUUUGGCACGUUUGCCGAUUAAGGAGGCAGUGAGGACAAGUAUUUUAUCGACCAAGUGGAGGUAUAAACCAGCCAUGCUUCAAAAUCUAAAGUUUGAUAAGCAAUGUGUAUCGACUCAGAACCAUAUCACCUUUGCUAAUAUUGUUGAUCAAGUACUCUUACUUCACAUUGGCCCCAUACACAAGUUUGAGCUUACUCAUCGGGAUUUUUUAGCCAGUGCUGAUAUUGAUAGAUGGGUUCUUCAUCUAUCAAGAAGCUGUGUCAAAUGUUUGAAACUUGUAAUCUGGAAGGGGCAUCGCAUCGCUACAAGUUGCCCUCUUGUUUCUUUUCUUGUCAAGACAUAAUUCAUUUGCGGUUACAUAAUUGUAUUCUAAAGCCUCCAUCAACUUUCAGAGGCUUCAUGAGUUUGGAGCAUCUUGACAUUAGGCAUGUUACGUUGGCCCAACAUGUCUUUGAAGAUUUUAUUGUUUGUUGUCCUGUGCCUAAGAGACUGAUUUUGAAAUACUGUGAUGGUUUCACAAAUCUCUGCAUUGAUGCACCAAAUCUCAAAUUGCCUGAUAUAGAUGGUGUAGUUUUGAGGAUGUUUGUCUUCAGAAUACCUUACAUCUUGAACAUGUUGACAUCCGUUUGGAAUUCAAAGUCAGAUGGAUUGUUGGCGGUUCAUCCAAUUUGGUCAAGUUUUUCGUUCACCUGCCUAAUAUUCGUGACCUUCAAAUUUCAGGUUACGUUUUAAAGUAUUUGGCUGUUGGUCCCCUGCUACGAAAGCUGCCUCAACCAGUACUGUUUCUGAAUGAUCUUUAUAUGGACGUAAACUUCACUGAUCUGGAGGAGAUUACAACUGCUCUAUGCCUUGUAAGGAGCUCCCCUGCUCUACGAAAACUAGAGAUUGUGGUCAACCAUAUUGAUUAUCAUCAUGUGGUGGGAGAAGUGAACUCCUGGUUUGAAAAUUUAGGCGAAAACUCAGAUUGUCAACUCACUGAACUUCAAUGUAUAGAAAUUGUUGCCAUCUCUGAUGCCAAAGCUGAACUAGAUUUUAUCAAAUUGCUGCUGUUAAGUUCACCUGUACUGGAGUGCAUGACUCUUAAGCCUUUUUCUGUGGAUGGCUCUUUGGAACCGUUAAAACAGUUGAUCCGAUUUAGGUGUGCCUCGGUUCAGGCUGAGAUAAUCCUCUUGGACCCUUGAUAGAUCUACUCAAACUUGAAAUGCAUAGCAUACCAUUUUACUGCUCAAGAACUAGAAUGAGGAAUGGCACAGAUGGGGCAUGGCUAUUGAUGCCAGAAUGCAGACUUUAUAUGAAGGAAGAGGAACAAACCUAUUGAUGAUUUCUAUUUUUCCAAAUGGUAGUCUUACCGCAUUAUCUAGUCUACAAUUGAUGCUGCAAAGGUUUCUUUCCAACCAUUAGUGGGAAAUAUUGUACAGUUUUUUUUUUUUCUUCAUAAAACCGGGUGUUUUGGUAUGUAAUAUAUAAUUUGGAGAACAUGAUUGCUGGUCGGAUGUCUAAUGUAUUUUUCCGCAAUCUAAAUUUA